AGUCCCCGAACGGGCUUCGGUCCCCGCAGCACCAGUCCUGUGCCCUGCGUACUCCAUGUUUACAUCUGGUUCUGGCUCCCAUCUGUGCGGCGGCAGCUUUGGUGGGAGGAGCGUGCGGUGGCGGAGUGUGAGGCUCUGGUGCGUGCAGGGAUGGAGGGCCCAGCUCCCAAGAGCUACCUGGUCGGUGAACCCCAGGAAAGCUGGCAGACUCCCGGGAACCCAUUGCAUCCCCGUCUGCGGAACGGUGGGGACGUGACUGUAAACGUUUCAUUAAAGCAGCACUGAAGAUGGAACUCCAGGCUUUAUGCUCCUUAGGUUCUGAACCACUGAGCCGAGAGCUGCCACUGGCCUGUCAAUCACUGGCCCCACACUGUUUCUUCUCACCCAGGACAUCUGAUUCAGUUUCGUUCGGUGUUCGCCAGAACCAGCUGUCCAUACACAUCUGGAUCACUUAUUGGCAAGGGAUG